rnacentral:rRNA from 1 species
GACGUAGGGCGCGAGCGUUGUCCGGAUUUAUUGGGCGUAAAGAGCUCGUAGGCGGCUUGUCGCGUCGUCCGUGAAAACCUGCAGCUCAACUGCAGGCUUGCGGGCGAUACGGGCAGGCUAGAGUUCGGUAGGGGAGACUGGAAUUCCUGGUGUAGCGGUGAAAUGCGCAGAUAUCAGGAGGAACACCGGUGGCGAAGGCGGGACUCUGGGCCGAUACUGACGCUGAGGUGCGAAAGCGUGGGGAGCAAACAGG